GACGAACGCUGGCGGCGUGCUUAACACAUGCAAGUCGAACGGAAAGGCCCUGCUUUUGUGGGGUGCUCGAGUGGCGAACGGGUGAGUAACACGUGAGUAACCCGCCCUUGACUUUGGGAUAACUUCAGGAAACUGGGGCUAAUACCGGAUAGGAGCUCCUGCUGCAUGGUGGGGGUUGGAAAGUUUCGGCGGCUGGGGAUGGACUCGCGGCUUAUCAGCUUGUUGGUGGGGUAGUGGCUUACCAAGGCUUUGACGGGUAGCCGGCCUGAGAGGGUGACCGGCCACAUUGGGACUGAGAUACGGCCCAGACUCAUACGGGAGGCAGCAGUGGGGAAUAUUGCACAAUGGGCGGAGGCCUGAUGCAGCAACGCCGCGUGCGGGAUGACGGCCUUCGGGUUGUAAACCGCUUUCGCCUGUGACGAAGCGUGAGUGACGGUAAUGGGUAAAGAAGCACCGGCUAACUACGUG
rnacentral:rRNA from 1 species